CUUUCAAGGGCAAAAUCAAGCGGCUUAUUUCCAUUAAAGUAACUGCCCUGGUGGGCAGCAGAUGUGUGAGCAAGAAUUCCCUCCCGAAUGUGAGAUGGAUGUGUCAUUUCAGCUGGAUGAGGAGCACAGAGCCCAUCCCAUCCUCCCAGUGCCAGCCUCCAUCUGCAAGGAGCAAAGUCCAAAGAAGGAUUUGGCCUCCAGGGUCCAUGUCUGCAAUGAGCACUCUGCGAUUCUGGAGGUGUGAGCUUGGAGAUUUCUCCUGUAAAGACCUGUGCAUGCUUUGCUAAGGUUAAGCUGGGUUUCCCUGAGUUACCUGAGAUCAGUGAAAAUCAGGUCCACGUGGAAAUAAAGGAAAUAAGUGGAGAUUUCUGCUGAGU